UACGAAGGGGGCUAGCGUUGCUCGGAAUCACUGGGCGUAAAGGGUGCGUAGGCGGGUCUUUAAGUCAGUGGUGAAAGACAACAGCUCAACUGUUGCAGUGCCAUUGAUACUGAAGAGCUUGAGUACAGAUGAGGUAGGCGGAAUUUAUGGUGUAGCGGUGAAAUGCAUAGAUACCAUAAAGAACACCUAUUGCGAAGGCAGCUUACUAAGCUGUAACUGACGCUGAGGCACGAAAGUGUGGGGAUCAAACAGG
rnacentral:rRNA from 1 species